rnacentral:rRNA from 1 species
UACGUAGGGUGCGAGCGUUGUCCGGAAUUACUGGGCGUAAAGAGCUCGUAGGUGGUUUGUCGCGUUGUUCGUGAAAACUCACGGCUUAACUGUGAGCGUGCGGGCGAUACGGGCAGACUGGAGUACUGCAGGGGAGACUGGAAUUCCUGGUGUAGCGGUGGAAUGCGCAGAUAUCAGGAGGAACACCGGUGGCGAAGGCGGCCUGCUGGGCUAUGGCUGACACUGAGGCGCGACAGCGUGGGGAGCAAACAGG